UCCGGUUUGACACCGGCAGUCUCCCUAGAGUGCCCGGCAUAACCCGCUGGUAACUAGGGACGAGGGUUGCGCUCGUUGCGGGACUUAACCCAACACCUCACGGCACGAGCUGACGACAGCCAUGCAGCACCUGUGCUAGUACCCGACUCUACGGGUCGCCGACCCUUUCGGGCGACUACUACCAGCAUGUCAAGCCCUGGUAAGGUUCUUCGCUUUGCAUCGAAUUAAGCCACGCGCUCCGCCGCUUGUGCGGGCCCCCGUCAAUUCCUUUGAGUUUCAGCCUUGCGGCCGUACUCCCCAGGCGGGGUACUUCCUGCGUUAGCGGAGAGGAAGGUGGGGAUGACGUGUAGGAGCUCGAC
rnacentral:misc_RNA from 1 species